AUUGAACGCUGGCGGCAAGCCUAACACAUGCAAGUCGAACGAGUGGCGGACGGGUGAGUAAUGUCUGGGAAACUGCCUGAUGGAGGGGGAUAACUACUGGAAACGGUAGCUAAUACCGCAUACCAUCGGAUGUGCCCAGAUGGGAUUAGCUUGUAGGUGGGGUAAAGGCUCACCUAGGCGACGAUCCCUAGCUGGUCUGAGAGGAUGACAAGCCACACUGGAAUUAGGACACGGUCCAGACUCCUACGGGAGGCGGCAGUGGGAAAUAUUGCAAAAUGAGCGCAGGCCGGAUGAAGCCAUGCCGCGUGGAUGAAGAAGUCCUUCGGGUUGUAAAGUACUUUCGGCGGGAAGGCGUUACCCGCAGAAGAAGCAACGGCUAACUCCGUGCCAGCAGCCGCGGUAAUUC
rnacentral:rRNA from 1 species